GACUGUGUGGUAAAUGUCCACAAAACCUGCAAGACUCUCCUGCCUGAAUGCAGCAGGGCCAAGUCCAAGCCAAAGUGUUUGCCGCUCCAGUCCCCAGGAAUCGCCACUAGGUCCCCCCAGAGCUCUUGGCCAGGUGUGUACAGACGGACUCUAGCCCAGGGCCGGCUUGCCUGGGGGGGGUGCGGGGGGGGGGCUUCAGAGGCCUGUCCCGGAACCUGCGCAGCUUUGCUCAACGCUCCGCCAACGGCCAUUGUGGGUCUCAGCUGCCGGGCGUCUCCGCUGCUUGCCAAAAUAUUUCCCGAGGCGGGCAUUUUGGGCAUUUUGGGAAGGGGGGGGGAGAGCCGGGCCAGGGUCAGGGCAGACCUGGGGCAGGCCUGGCUGGGAGAAGGGCAGAGAGGAGGAAAGGGAGGGGCGUGCACUGCCUUUCCUCGAGGUCGGAACGGCUCUGCGACGGCCAGUCUGCGGUGCGGC
rnacentral:lncRNA from 1 species